rnacentral:rRNA from 1 species
GACGAACGCUGGCGGCGUGCUUAACACAUGCAAGUCGAACGAUGACGCCCGAGCUUGCUCGGUCUGAUUAGUGGCGAACGGGUGAGUAGCACGUGAGCAACCUGCCCUUCACUCUGGGAUAACCUCGGGAAAUCGGGGCUAAUACCGGAUAUGAGCUCCUGUCGCAUGGCGGGUGUUGGAAAGUUUUUCGGUGAAGGAUGGGCUCGCGGCCUAUCAGUUUGUUGGUGAGGUAGUGGCUCACCAAGGCGAUGACGGGUAGCCGGCCUGAGAGGGCGACCGGCCACGCUGGGACUGAGACACGGCCCAGACUCCUACGGGAGGCAGCAGUGGGGAAUAUUGCACAAUGGGCGAAAGCCUGAUGCAGCGACGCCGCGUGAGGGAUGACGGCCUUCGGGUUGUAAACCUCUUUCAGCAGGGAAGAAGCGAAAGUGACGGUACCUGCAGAAGAAGCGCCGGCUAACUACGUG